UACAGAGGGUGCAAGCGUUGUUCGGAAUCAUUGGGCGUAAAGGGCGCGUAGGCGGCCUUGUAAGUCGGGUGUGAAAUCCCAGGGCUCAACCCUGGAAGUGCACUCGGUACUGCGAGGCUCGAAUCUCGGAGAGGGUGGUGGAAUUCCCAGUGUAGAGGUGAAAUUCGUAGAUAUUGGGAGGAACACCGGUGGCGAAGGCGACCGCCUGGACGAAGAUUGACGCUGAGGCGCGAGAGCGUGGGGAGCAAACAGG
rnacentral:rRNA from 1 species